CAAAAGCCAAACUGUUUCCUGCUACCUGCAAUACAUUUUGGAAUAGACUGUACAACACCUUUAAAUAUUGGUUCCUUGUCUCUAUAUUCUACAUAUGACAUUUGAGUUGGAUAAGUCCACAAAUCUGUAAGGAUAGUGUCAUUAUAUUAGGAGCAAAAAUCUUGUCAGCAGGUCUUGUUAAUGCUAGAAGCAAAAUGGCAAGGUGAGGUUAAGUUACCAAUAGUGGACUUACCUGCCUGGGUCCCGAUUGCUGUAAUUAAUAAUUUUGUAGGUACUGAAGCUAAGCUGUUCACAGCUCUGAUAUUGCAAGAUGCUGUUACUGAUUAUGAUGAUGCUGGACUUGAUGAAAUUAUACAUGUAUAUCUAAAGUACUGCUCAAAACUUAUUUGGGAUCUGCAAUGAACCUGUAACAAUUGAAGUGAUCUGUCUAUGGAAAGUGCAUCCUAUCAACUGCUGAUAGUAAUGGUGCUAGUGACAAUUGAUCUGAACUAUUAGCUUGCCACAGAGAGGCACCACAAUAGUUGGCUACUGCUCCAUGGCAGGCUGAAUGGCUAGUAGCUGGAGCAGGUGCAGUGCAUGACAUACAUAACAUUUGUCUUCUAAUACAUUAGACUUGAGCUUAGACAUUUUUGUUUAUUUCUAGGCAUUGUUUUCUAAUAUCACUCGACAGCGGUAUGUUCAAACAAACAUUAAUUUUUAUUCAAUGCGAGCGUUUUCGGUGUGAGCUGUACCAUCAUCAGGCGUAUGCAUGGGGGGUCAAAC
rnacentral:lncRNA from 1 species